GUCACUGAAGUGACUAACUGGUAUCAGGGAGGCAUUGUUCUCCCACCCACCUCACAGGUACCAUCACCAUGGGAACCAAGCUGACCAAUGAGAACAAACACUGAGCCACCUCUCCCCAAGACAGGCCACAACCAACAUUCAGAGGCCUCCAGGGCCCCCUCCUGGAUAAACCAAUCCCACUGCCCCCCGCCACCAAGGCGGAAAACAGAGGAUCUUCUGCCUGGAAUGCUCAAGAGCAAAAGCCAAACUCAUCCUUACCCAGCUUAGAGGUCCAAGCACAUGUGGGGUCCUGCCAUUCAGCAACCAUUCAGAAGCCCCUAAAGACUGUCCGUAGUACCUUGGGAACACCCCAAAGCACUGAGAGCCUCGUGAAGAGCACACAGAGCCUCAAGCCAGAGGUACGCAGCAUCUCCACCCCCACAAGCAGUGGCUAUGAAGCCGACGGGGAGUGCAGCAAGGACAACCUGGUUAACAGGAAGCAAACAGUGAGGCUAACUAAGCGUCUCACCACCCGGGUGGAGAGCAGCGAGAUAUUCCCCGUGCCCCAUCUCAGCCCAUUCAAGAUCCGAAGGCUGGCCAGGAAAGGCCAGUGCUCCCAGAAGUCUGGAGGGGAAAAGUGAGACCAGCCUGCCGGAUGGCAGAGUCAGCAGUCUGAGUAGCAUCAGCUUCCUCAGCCCAGGCAGCAGUUUCCUGUCCUACCAGGUGAGCAGUGGGCUUCUCAGCUCCAGCAGCAGCAGCAGCAGCAGCAGCAGCAGCAGCAGCAACACCAGCAGCAGCAGCAGGCCCUCCAGCAAGGUCAAUAGCAGCCAGAACAUUAGGGUGGACUGUAAUGAGCAGAGCGAGCCAAGAAGCAACACCAACCUCCAGGAAGACAAAGCCAGGGACCCUGUGGAAAGUAGCAGCCAGUCCACCCAGGCUGAGCAGCCCACCCAGGAACCCAUGCCUUUAUGAGGGAAUUUCUCAGCUGCUAGUAUCUAGACACUAGGGCCCAACAAAUACUGGUUCAUCUGGAACAUCCAUUAGCAACUUAAGUAGGAAAAACUACAAAAGUGGGAGCUGUCUUCUAUAGCCAUGACCAUCAACAGACAGGUUACAUACAGGACUGUCUGCUGAGAAGUAGGUGAAGUGGACCAUCUGUAUAGGAAGGUUUUGUGAGAAGAGCUGGAACAAGAACCAUUGAUGCCAGGCCAUCUUUAUCAAACCACCCAUGGGAAGAGCAUCAAGUGCCAUGAACCUCAGCACAGGCUACCCGUAAGAUCCAUCGAAACUAUCAGCACCAAGAUCAGUAGUGACAAUUGACAACUGUUUUAAGAGCCCUUAGAAGGCAGAACCUUCCAUGAUAAACCCAUUAUAAACAAUGAGCACCAUGUACAACUGCCUUGUGCUCAGAAGAAACGUAUCACCUCUACUGGGAGUGGCCCAGGUCCAGAGGCAUCUGGAAUGAUAAGGACCCUGCAUGGGGAUCUAUAACCAUGGGGAACUCCAUCUCUACUGAGUACUAUAAUGUACAGGCACUGCCCAUGGAAGCUCUAACCGGGGGACACUGUAUACAAAGAAAAUCCAUGACUCCCAACAGUGUAGCCCAGCCCAUCUUGGGGAUCAUCAAACGCAGUUGGUAGUACCACUAGCCCCAGGGUAAAGUGUCUAGAAAGAACUGAGGGGAUAUGUCAAAGGACCCAGGUGGCCAAAGAACAUCACCCAUGGGAGAGCUGUGCUUCCCAUCUGAUUCUUUCUGGGCAUCUAAACCCCACAUUCCACCCAGGAACAAAGGCUGAAUACACUGUUUCUGUCUCUAUGUUGGCCUCAGAAAAGCAGAAAUCAGAAGCCAGGGACAGCCCUUUUGCUCAGAUGGUCAGAACCAGACUCCCUGUGGCAGUACAUCAUGGUAACUGCCACCAUAGACUCAGAGACCAUCCUGCAGGAACUGGUAGGGCAGGAACUCUACACCAUGGACAAAGGCUGCAUAAGUGGAUAAGAGGCCUAAGGCCCUGCCCCCAUUCCUUCUCAGAACAGUGGAACCAUUCCCCAGGCUAAACACAUAGAUCCAGGAAACAAGAGGGUGCAUGAAGAGGAGAAGCCAGCAGCAGCCAAUGAAAACAUCCACUGGGCACCAGAAGGAAAGUGGAGGGGGCACCAAACACAAUAAAUGGUAUCUGGAGAGGCCACAUGUA
ensembl:lincRNA